GAGGAACGCCGGCGGCGUGCCUAAUACAUGCAAGUCGAGCGAACAGACGAGGAGCUUGCUCCUCUGACGUUAGCGGCGGACGGGUGAGUAACACGUGGAUAACCUACCUAUAAGACUGGGAUAACUUCGGGAAACCGGAGCUAAUACCGGAUAAUAUAUUGAACCGCAUGGUUCAAUAGUGAAAGACGGUUGUGCUGUCACUUAUAGAUGGAUCCGCGCCGCAUUAGCUAGUUGGUAAGGUAACGGCUUACCAAGGCAACGAUGCGUAGCCGACCUGAGAGGGUGAUCGCCCACACUGGAACUGAGACACGUUCCAGACUCCUACGGGAGGCAGCCGUAGGGAAUCCUCCGCAAUGGGAGAAAGCUUGACGGAGCAACGCCGCGUGAGUGCUGCAGGUCUUCGGAUCGUAAAAAUCUGUUAUUAGGGAAGCACCAAUGUGUAAGUAACUAUGCACGUCUUGACGGUACCUAAUCAGAAAGCCACGGCUAGCUCCGUG
rnacentral:rRNA from 1 species